AUUGAACGCUGGCGGCAUGCUUUACACAUGCAAGUCGAACGGUAACAGGCCGCAAGGUGCUGACGAGUGGCGAACGGGUGAGUAAUGCAUCGGAACGUGCCCAGUCGUGGGGGAUAACUACUCGAAAGAGUAGCUAAUACCGCAUACGAUCUAUGGAUGAAAGCGGGGGACCGUAAGGCCUCGCGCGAUUGGAGCGGCCGAUGUCAGAUUAGUUAGUUGGUGGGGUAAAGGCUCACCAAGCCAACGAUCUGUAGCUGGUCUGAGAGGACGACCAGCCACGCUGGGACUGAGACACGGCCCAGACUCCUACGGGAGGCAGCAGUGGGGAAUUUUGGACAAUGGGCGCAAGCCUGAUCCAGCAAUGCCGCGUGCAGGAAGAAGGCCUGCGGGUUGUAAACUGCUUUUGUACGGAACGAAACGGCUCUGGUUAAUACCCGGGGCUAAUGACGGUACCGUAAGAAUAAGCACCGGCUAACUACGU
rnacentral:rRNA from 1 species